UCUAGAAAUUCACAUUUGAGCUAGAAAUUACGAAAUUAUGAAUCGUUAUCCAUUUAGAAAUACAAAUUCUAUCUCAUAUGUAAAAUUCUAGUCAUAUUUUUUUUCUUAACAUUCUCCAUUUUGAUGUGCCCGUACUCCUGUUCUGCGCUCAUUGUCUUUUAGUUGUAUUUCUUUUAAUUUCUUUUAAGUCGUUGGCUUCAGAACUUACUUUAGCAUUAACUGACAGAUAGUCCUUACAACGUAAUAUGUUACUCGAAAUGUAAGACGCAACUUUCUGUCAUCUGACAUAGGGCUUUUUAUCACGUUGACAACACAAAAAAAAAGGAUUUUUUUUAAACUUUGAAUUUGAAGAUUGUAUUUUUAAUAUUGUCAGUCGACUUGGAUCUACGAAAACAGCUGCCAAGUAGAAAUAAUAAAAUGUUUGGAUUCCUCAGUAUCGAAAAAUGUGCUAAUAUCCAA